GCUUUCGUGGCUCAGGGGUAGAGCACUUCCUUGGUAAGGAAGAGGUCAGCGGUUCAAAUCCGCUCGUAAGCU
rnacentral:tRNA from 1 species